rnacentral:rRNA from 1 species
UACGGGGGGGGCAAGCGUUGUUCGGAAUUCCUGGGCGUAAAGGGCUCGUAGGCGGCCAACUAAGUCGGAUGUGAAAUCCCCAGGCUUAACCUGGGAACUGCAUCCGAUACUGGAUGGCUUGAAUCCGGGAGAGGGAUGCGGAAUUCCAGGUGUAGCGGUGAAAUGCGUAGAUAUCUGGAGGAACACCGGUGGCGAAGGCGGCAUCCUGGACCGGCAUUGACGCUGAGGAGCGAAAGCCAGGGGAGCAAACGGG